rnacentral:rRNA from 1 species
UGCGUAGGUGGUAGUGCAAGUCUGGGGUGGAAUCCCAGGGCUUAACCCUGGAACUGCCUUGGAAACUGUAUUACUUGAGUCAGUGAGGGGAGGGUAGAAUUCCUGGUGUAGCGGUGAAAUGCGUAGAUAUCAGGAGGAAGGCCUGUGGCGAAGGCGGCCCUCUGGCGCUGAACUGACACUGAGGCGCGAAAGCGUGGGGAGCAAACAGGAUUAGAUACCCUGGUAGUCCACGCCCUAAACGGUGGGUACUAGGUGUAGGGCUCGUAAGGGUUCUGUGCCGAAGCGAAAGCAUUAAGUACCCCGCCUGGGGAGUACGGCCGCAAGGUUGAA